CCAUGUAAAGCUCCCAACAAAGACAACAUCAACAUCAUCAGAGCUGUCAAGUGGAGCAGACCUGAUCAGGAUCCAGAUUAUUAUGUUCUUUACUACAGAAAUCCACACUUUGAUCCAGACAACCAGCAUCCAUCUUAUCAGAACCGGGUGGAUCUGCAGAACAAAGAGAUGAAGGCCGGAAACGUUUCUCUGAUUCUGAUGAAUGUGACGAUGGAGGACAGAGGAACAUACGAGUGUUGGGUUUUUCAGAGAGGAAAGUAUGAACACAUCAGCAUCACCUACCUGGAAGUUGUUGAACCAGGAGAAAAGUUUGAAGGAGCCAAGGGUGAUAUCAUCGGAGAUGAAGGAAACAAGACUGGAGGAGACCAAGUUGGAAUCAGUAGAGGACAUUUUGGAAUAGUGGCUGUGAUCUUUCCUUUUCUUACUGUGUUUGCUUCUCUUUGUUUUCUGAUGUAUAAAAGACACAAGAGGCAGAAUUCAAACCUCCUAGUUCCUCCUGAUGAAGUAGUUUAACAGACGUUAUGAAACACAGACAUGAAAGUUUUUGUGAACAGCAUCAGAACAAACCAGAGCUUGUGUAACUUUGAUGGAAGCAGCAGCAGCAGAACAAAGAGAAUCCAGGUGUGGACCAACCAUGUGGUCUCUCCUUUAACUGCCACCUUAUGGUGGUGGAGGGUUUGUGAGCUCAGAGGAUGCUGGGAGCUCUGCUGUCUGGAGUUCAGCUCCUGCUAGGGUUUCUAUUGGCAGACUGGUCCAGAAACAUCAAGUCCUCCCAACAUCUCCAUCAUCUAGAUUGAUCCUGUGGAUUGUUGCUGCUGCUGCUGGUCUUCAUCAACUUUUCUGUUGCUUUGUCUGGAAAUAAAUGUGUUCCAAAGCUCUGCAUGUUAGAACCUGAUGAAAUGUUGUGGAUGUAAAGUGUUCUGUCAGAUGAGAUCAGAAGCAGAUAGAAAAGUUCUGAUUGUCCAGAAUGAAGCAGAACUGAUGAACAACUUUAGACUGAACUGGUUUUAAUGUUUUAUCUGCUAGCAGCUCUGAUGAUGCUCUGAACUUUUAACAUGGUAAAGGUGCAGAUAAUAGAAUAUGUUUUUGAUACUUUUAUAACUGCUCAGGGUUUGUGACUUUUUUCUUCAUCCUAUAUUAUAUCUUGUUCUGUUAAUCUGUACAAAAACUUUGUACUCAGUUGCAGAAUGUAAACUGAUGAUCAGAUUCUUCAUAAAGUUCUUGUUUUAA